AAUAAGGUUUGCAAAGAACUUGAUAAAACAAACUUAGGUCUAAAAGCAAGAUAUAUAAAACCCUAAAAACGUCCAGGGACUAAUAAUGCAAAUAGGAAAGUUUCUGGGGCAAAUUUCCUCUUCUGUAAACUUGAAAGCGUCUAGGGUUUUUGCUGGGGCCGAAACUGGUGUCGAUUGACACCAAGAGUGUGUCGAUCGACACUCCUCGCUGAUUCCUGAACCAAAGUCAUCCUUAGCUUCCUUUUUCUUAGUGUUUGCUCCAAAAUGUCUCCUUAUCUCUAUUGUUGUCCCAUUGCAUAGAGUACCUGAAAAGACACUAAAAACACUCGAGAAAUAACAUAAAGACUCAAAAUCCUAUACCUAAAACAUAGUUAAAAUCGGUGAAAAUCGGGUUAUAUCAACUCCCCUAGACUUAGCUUUUGCUUGCCCUCAAGCAAAACACAAAAGCUGAACCCGUGGAAGAGGUUUUGAAAACAAAGGAACUCCCAACAUUCUCUAGCCUAUUGCCAUGAUCUUUCAAACUAAGUCCAUAUGCCUAACAAGUCUAAUCAAAUCCUAACCAACAUAUACUUCUCUGCAAGCUUACACAACAUUCUAGAUUCCAUACCUAAGUUCCACAACUAUAUCCACCAUGCUUUCAUCGCUGGGUCUCAUCAAACAAGCCAGCAUUCAAGAUCCUUCUAGACUCAUUCAUGUACUAUACCAUGAUAAAUUGACCAUUCUUUUAUAUA
rnacentral:sRNA from 1 species